UAGGUACUCCCUCCAUUUCGAAUUACUUGUCGCAGGUAUGGAUGUAUCUAGAUGUAUUUUAGUUCUAUAUACAUUCAUUUCUGCGAUAAUUAAUUUGAAACGGAAGGAGUAUCUU
rnacentral:pre_miRNA from 1 species